AGAUUGAACGCUGGCGGCAUGCCUUACACAUGCAAGUCGAACGGCAGCACGGGAGCAAUCCUGGUGGCGAGUGGCGAACGGGUGAGUAAUACAUCGGAACGUGCCCAAUCGUGGGGGAUAACGCAGCGAAAGCUGUGCUAAUACCGCAUAAGAUCUACGGAUGAAAGCAGGGGAUCGCAAGGACCUUGCGCGAAUGGAGCGGCCGAUGGCAGAUUAGGUAGUUGGUAGAGGUAAAGGCUCACCAAGUCCUUCGAUCUGUAGCUGGUCUAGAGAGGACGUACCAGCCACACUGGGACUAGAGUACACCGGCCCACGACCGUCCGUACGGGAGG
rnacentral:rRNA from 1 species